CACGUAGGGCGCAAGCGUUGUCCGGAAUUAUUGGGCGUAAAGAGCUCGUAGGCGGUCUGUUACGUCUGCUGUGAAAACCCGGGGCUUAACCCUGGGCUUGCAGUGGAUACGGGCAGGCUAGAGGCAGGUAGGGGAGAAUGGAAUUCCCGGUGUAGCGGUGAAAUGCGCAGAUAUCGGGAGGAACACCGGUGGCGAAGGCGGUUCUCUGGGCCUGACCUGACGCUGAGGUACGAAAGCGUGGGGAGCAAACAGG
rnacentral:rRNA from 1 species